AUACGUAGGGAGCGAGCUUUGUCCGGAAUUACUGGGUGUAAAGGGAGCGUAGGCGGGAGUGCAAGUCAGAUGUGAAAUACAUGGGCUCAACCCAUGGGCUGCAUUUGAAACUGCAUUUCUUGAGUGAAGUAGAGGUAAGCGGAAUUCCUGGUGUAGCGGUGAAAUGCGUAGAUAUCAGGAGGAACACCGGUGGCGAAGGCGGCUUACUGGGCUUUUACUGACGCUGAGGCUCGAAAGCGGGGGGAGCAAACAGGAUUAGAGACCCUGGUAGUCCACGUUGUAAACGAUGAUUACUAGGUGUGGGGGGACUGACCCCUUCCGUGCCGCAGUUAACACAAUAAGUAAUCCGCCUGGGGAGUACGGCCGCAAGGUUGAAACUCAAAUGAAUUGACGGGG
rnacentral:rRNA from 1 species